rnacentral:rRNA from 1 species
UUCGCUGACGAGUGGCGGACGGGUGAGUAAUGUCUGGGAAACUGCCUGAUGGAGGGGGAUAACUACUGGAAACGGUAGCUAAUACCGCAUAAUGUCGCAAGACCAAAGAGGGGGACCUUCGGGCCUCUUGCCAUCGGAUGUGCCCAGAUGGGAUUAGCUUGUUGGUGGGGUAACGGCUCACCAAGGCGACGAUCCCUAGCUGGUCUGAGAGGAUGACCAGCCACACUGGAACUGAGACACGGUCCAGACUCCUACGGGAGGCAGCAGUGGGGAAUAUUGCACAAUGGGCGCAAGCCUGAUGCAGCCAUGUCGCGUGUAUGAAGAAGGCCUUCGGGUUGUAAAGUACUUUCAGCGGGGAGGAAGGGAGUAAAGUUAAUAUCUUUGCUCAUUGACGUUAUCCGCAGAAGAAGCACCGGCUAACUCCGUGCCAGCAGCCGCGGUAAUACGGAGGGUGCAAGCGUUAAUCGGAAUUACUGGGCGUAAAGCGCACGCAGGCGGUUUGUUAAGUCAGAUGUGAAAUCCCCGGGCUCAACCUGGGAACUGCAUCUGAUACUGGCAAGCUUGAGUCUCGUAG